AACGAACGCUGGCGGCGUGUUUAAGACAUGCAAGUCGCACGGUGUCAUUUUGGUAGCAAUACUUGAAUGGCAUAGUGGCGCACGGGUGAGUAACACGUGAAUUACAUGCCCUGUAGAGGGGGAUAGCCCAGGGAAACUUGGAUUAAUACCCCAUGGUCUCGCAAGAGUAAAGGUGGCCGCAAGGCUGUCGCUACAGGAUUGGUUCGCGCCCUAUCAGCUAGUUGGCGGGGUAACGGCCCACCAAGGCUACGACGGGUACCUGGUCUGAGAGGACGAUCAGGCACACUGGAACUGAGACACGGUCCAGACACCGACGGGUGGCAGCAGUCGAGAAUAAUUCACAAUGGGGGCAACCCUGAUGGUGCAACGCCGCGUGGAGGAUGACGGUCUUCGGAUUGUAAACUCCUGUCAUCCGGGAGUAAGACCUGGGCAUGAAUAGUGCACAGGGUUGAUAGUACCGGAAGAGGAAGGGACGGCUAACUUCGUGCCAGCCGCCGCAGUAACAC
rnacentral:rRNA from 1 species